rnacentral:miRNA from 1 species
GCACCAAGGACAGAUGUGUUUAC